ACUCCUACGGGAGGCAGCAGUGGGGAAUAUUGCACAAUGGGCGCAAGCCUGAUGCAGCCAUGCCGCGUGUGUGAAGAAGGCCCUUCGGGUUGUAAAGCACUUUCAGUCGUGAGGAAGGUAGUGUAGUUAAUAGCUGCAUUAUUUGACGUUAGCGACAGAAGAAGCACCGGCUAACUCCGUGCCAGCAGCCGCGGUAAUACGGAGGGUGCGAGCGUUAAUCGGAAUUACUGGCGUAAAGCGCAUGCAGGUGGUUUGUUAAGUCAGAUGUGAAAGCCCGGGGCUCAACCUCGGAAUAGCAUUUGAAACUGGCAGACUAGAGUACUGUAGAGGGGGUAGAA
rnacentral:rRNA from 1 species